rnacentral:rRNA from 1 species
UACGUAGGUGGCAAGCGUUGUCCGGAAUUAUUGGGCGUAAAGCGCGCGCAGGCGGUUCUUUAAGUCUGAUGUGAAAGCCCACGGCUCAACCGUGGAGGGUCAUUGGAAACUGGAGAACUUGAGUACAGAAGAGGAAAGCGGAAUUCCACGUGUAGCGGUGAAAUGCGUAGAUAUCGGGAGGAACACCAGUGGCGAAGGCGACUUCUUGGCCUGUUCUUGACGCUGAGGCGCGAAAGCUGGGGGAGCAAACGGG